ensembl:lncRNA
CGCGGGCAAAAUGGGUCAGGGUCCCCCCCAUCUCCCCCGCACCCCCCAGUACCCCUGUGUGGAUUCCUGACAUUUAACAGCCAUGGCACCAACCACUGUGACUGUGCUAAGAGGCUCGGAGGCCUGCUUGGGGUGAACCAGGAAAACUCUCAAGAGGCCAAUUUGUGAGUACUCCUAGAUUUAUUUAUUGUGAUUAUAUUAUUUCCUGUGCACAAGAAUCCGUAGGGAGCUCUCCUCUGCUCUUCAAGAAUGUCGUACAUGAAUAAAACAGCCUAAGAACCAAGCAUCAGCACCAGUGGACAGGGAAAGAGUAGCUGUAAUUCCAGAGACAAUGUCAAAGAGGAUUGUUAAUUAGUAAUGCAGGAACAAACAGUUGCACACACACACACACACACACACACACACACACACACACACACACACACACACACACACACACACACACACACACACACACACACACACACACAUACACACACACACACACACACACACACACGCACGCACACACACGCACACACACACUGUGGACUGUACGCUGAAUGCUCUUCAGUGACCUGAUAGGCUAAAAUUGUCACCACUUUGAGGCUUGUAAAGUCAAUCUCACACGCUCUCUCUGGUGUCAUGUCUGUAAUCUGCUUUUGGUCUGAGACUUCUAUUCUCAUCGCUGAAGCGGCCACACAAUCUUUUGUUGCGGCAGCAGGCUGCAGCUACAGCAUCUACUGGCAGGAAGUCAGCCCCAACACACACAGGAAGUAUGAGAGAAAUAAGCUCUAGUCUGCAAUGAGAAGAUCAAUGUUCAAACAUGCUACAUGAGCAGGUUCAUCUUCGUCUUUUUCCACUCAAGAACAUAUGUUGGUGAAAUGAAGAAACAUGUAACAACGUGUCUGGUUCUGGUCUUUCGAUUUAGAAUGUUUUAGCGGGAACAUUUCUCUGCACGUGUUUAAGCAGAGUUGUACAAUUCAGAGAAAUAUUCUUUGUCAUAGAAACAAACAAUGAGGAGUACUAAACUUCACUGAUGUUAUACAUAUACUGUAUAUAUAUGA